GUUGUAGUACAGAGAUGCUGGAAGGAGCCGUUUCUAGGGAUGUACGCUUGCCGCUGCAAUCAUACAAGCCGCCUGCACAAACAGCCACCCCUUGCAGAAGAGAAAAAAAAAGAUGAAGGCAUUUUCCGUCCUUUUGAGAAGAACUCGGUCCCGCCGGUGUCGUCCCCCCCCCCCGCGCCUGCCUGCGGCCGGGGGUACGGGCAGGCCGGGCGGGCAGCGCCGCGUUCCUCAGGCUGCUGUUCUGCCUGCGGUGCUGAAAUCAUCCUUAAAGGAGAAAGAGGCUGGAGCUGGGAUAUAAAGUAGUCUUCUAGGAGUACUGCCAGAACCGAUCUAUUUUACUCUGCUGCUGCUGCUGCUGUUGCUGUUCUGCUGUGUCAUGGGAAGAGAGUUACCUAGCCACACCAACCCUCGGAAACGGCACCUCAGGCAGAGCCGCUUGCUGCAAACCUGAGCCGUGUUUUACAAAGCCGAAGGCAGUCACAAAUGGCAUACGCUCCAGCAAUACCACACAGUCCAAACGGACUCCUGGAAAUAUAGGAGUGAUUGGCACUUGGUACUCUUUGAAAUGAAGGUGUUGGUUGUUCUGCCAUGAGGUGCUGCAUAUGGACCUCUUCUGGAAGGAAGACUUUUACAUAUAAAUUAAGAUUCGUUAACCUCUGAUUAUUAAUCUAUACAAUUGCAGGCAGCCUCCCUAUCAAGGAGCACGUUAUUGUCUCUGUUACAGCUGCUAGACACCAACCGAGAUCAGGGGCCUUAUUUUCCUGGACACUAUAUAGUCAUACCCUAGGAGAUAACCUCUGCCUUGAAGGGCUUACAAAGCAAAAAGACAAAAGAGUGAGCAAUAUAAAUCUCAGGCAGAACAAACACGGUGACCUUUUGCAAAUGUCAAGUUAAUACCAUGAUCUGGAAGUGGAAGGGGUUUAUCAGAAGGCAGAUGGGUCAACAGGGAUGGGAGCACUUGGGGUUGAGGGGUGAGAUGAAGGAAAAGCCGUAGAAGAAGCUGCGUGGUAUGAGAUGGAGACGAAGCGCACGCAGAACAUCAUAUAGUCAAUCAGCACAUCCAGGAUAAAAAGCAGGAGGGAAAAAAAGGGUCUGACGACCCUGUCCACAGCUCACAGUACAACCAGCUCCUACCUGUAGCCUCUUCCCCAAAGCCACGCAGCCUGGAGAGGGGAGAUGGAGGAGGCAGGGGGUGGACGGCAUGGUUCCUCCUACGUGCUGAUUCUGCACAGGCAGCUGGAGGUGUGAUAACCCUGUUUUGGGGGUUGUUUCUCUCUGUGGCUCGGCCUCCUGCAGCUGUGUUUGUUGCAGCUGAGCCUCGGGGCUGGAGUGAGACGUAGUUCAGCGCUCUAAGUCCAGGGCAGCACUAAAUUGAAUAUUAACAGGAACAGCUCCAGGAGCUGCUGGGACUCAGGAAGUCACAAUUCCUUCUCUGCUGCUCCUUCAUCUUAGUGGGAGGUGAUUGCUGGAGGCCUUAAUGGAUGUGAGACAUAAUACGCUUCCCUCACAUUAGCUCCAGUUUGCAAAUCGAGGCUUUAACCACAUCCUACCCGCGCUGAUCAUUUCCUCAUGCACCUUUUCAGCAACACGUGAAGUGUGCUAGCUACAGCCAGCCCAGCGUCCCACAGGCGACCAAGCAGAGAGGUGCAGAGACUGUACGAACAUUGAUUUUAAGACUUAUCAAAAUUUGCCACAUAUAAAUUAAUGAACUCUUUGCCUCUCUUUCAUCCUUUUGAGAACAGGAAUUAUUUAUUUGCUGAUGCCCUGAGCAUCAUACAAGGGCCGUAAAGUGAUUUUUAAGUUGAAAACCUUUGCUAUCAUGCCAUUGGUAAAUACUCAAAGUAAAAUACAGCAACAAAUUCAUAGGUAGUAGUGACCCUCCAUGCUGCCUGUCAAGACCGUUUAGAGCUGACCAGCACUCAGUUGCUCCCUCUCCAAAAGUAUGGAUGGACACCGUUCCCUCCUCCAAACCAUGCUGCAGAUCUACAUUGAGAAAUUCAGUCUGCGGUCAUGUUACUUGUACAGAAUAAACAAAGUGUUUUACAAGAAGAAAGAUGCCCAGAGAAACAUGUCCAUGGUGUCUGAUCAUUCAGAACUUCUCCUAAGAAAGGAGAAGGUAACAGCCCCAAGAGCACCAGAAAAUUCCCGAAGACCCUAAGGGCUGUGCUGAGCAACAGUCAAAAUCUUAAAUUCCUUCCUCGUCUCCUUAUUUUUCUCUUCCUUCCCACUUCAAAAUUCACAAUGUCCUUGACUUUGGUUUAUCAUUUACCUUCAGGUCCACCAGCACUUGUUCAUUGCAUGACCCCUUUUAUUUUUCAAAAAAACCCUUCCUCAAUCUCCUUUUUCAUUAGUUGAUGUACAAUAGACUCUACCAUGAGACUGCUUCUGGUUUUGUUUGAUUUCUCUCUUCCUUUAUCUCCACCCAGAGACAUCCAGCAGAUUGUUUCAUAAUCUUCCUAGAGUUCAGAGAAAGUAUAUUUCUUCCAGAUAGCCAGUGAACUCCCUCCUCCUUUUUCCCCAUCACCUGCCCUUCUUGAACAAUGGUUCUGGCAAACUUUAUCCAUGUAUUAUUCCUUUAUUUGCAACUUAGGAGUUCCUUGUUAGGGAAAAGUGAGAAAUGCUCUGUUUCCCUGCCAUGCAAUGUGCGUUUUUGCACAACUGCUUUGCGCUCCAGCACACUCACUAAUUUUUCUAGCUCUUGGAAGUGAGGACCGCAGCACCACAUUCAUCCCCCUGUCAACCACAACGCUGUCUGUGGGAGAUCUGCACAAAGGGAGGCUCUUCGUUCUGCUUCUAUAGAGCUACACUGCUACAUUAGAAAAGAAAAUUGGUGAAACUAUGCAACACACAGGAGGAAGGAUUGAUUUUGUUAUUGGUCGGGGAAAGCUCCAUGCUUCAUUUGGUAUUACUGGCCUCCUCCUGUUGUUGGGUAAUUAACACCAACAGCAUGUUUGAAGCUAUGCUAAAGUGCAAAUACAAGAUUUGCAUCAAUAUUUUUGCAUUCUGGGUGGGCACAGGGAAGGUGGAAGCAUUGGCACACUUAGAGAAGACAGACAGUCAUGGAAAAGGAGAGCUGGAGAGAGACUGUGAAACCCCCUUGGUGCCCUGAGCAGAAUCCAACCAUCCCUGAGAGAGGCUAAUUGACUUCCAGAGAGGAAGACUUAGGAAUUAAUUUAGAAAUUUUAAUUCAAGGAAAUUUGCUUUGAAUUAGAAAGCUUUUCGGUUUGAUUUGUGGGUUUUUCUUCUUUCCCAAAUAUCCAGUAACAACAAUCUGUGCAGGAAAUCAAGCCAAUUUAGUUCUGUUGUACCCAGAAUAAUUGUCAAUAUCCUUUUUGUAAGUCUCCUCUGUCUUAGAAGAUAGUUUUCAUCUUCUCACACUUUUUUUUUUCUCUUCUGGAAAAAGCAAAGGAAAUCUUCCAAGUUUUUUGAACCACGUAUAAUCCUUGUUGCUUUCCUCUAGCCCCUCUACAAUUUGUCUCCAUCUUCUACUUUCUCCUAGCACGGCAUCCAAACCCACACCUGGUAUUCCAACCGAGCCCUUAUUAGAGUGGAAUAAAUGCUUCUGAUAUUUCACCUAUUACGCUCUUGUUCCUAUGCCCCGGAAUAAGAUUUGCCUUUUUCUGCA